rnacentral:tRNA from 1 species
GGUGGCUCAGUGGUAGAGUGCUUGCCUUGCAUGCAUGAGGGCCUAGGUUCAAUUCCUCAGCACCG